UCCUACGGGAGGCAGCAGUGAGGAAUAUUGGUCAAUGGUCGGGAGACUGAACCAGCCAAGCCGCGUGAGGGAUGAAGGUACAGAGUAUCGUAAACCUCUUUUGUCAGGGAACAAAGGCGGGGACGCGUCCCCGGAUGAGUGUACCUGAAGAAAAAGCAUCGGCUAACUCCGUGCCAGCAGCCGCGGUAAUACGGAGGAUGCGAGCGUUAUCCGGAUUUAUUGGGUUUAAAGGGGGCGCAGGCGGUCUGUUAAGUCAGCGGUCAAAGCCCGGGGCGCAACCCCGGCCCGCCGUUGAAACUGGCAGU
rnacentral:rRNA from 1 species